rnacentral:sRNA from 1 species
GCCAGACACAGUGGCUCAUACCUGUAAUCUUAACACUUUGGAAGGCUGAGGCAGAUGGAUCACUUGAGCCCGAAAGUUAGAAACCAAAACCCAGUCUCUACCCCCAAAAAAAAAAAAAAAAAAAAAAAUUUAGCCAGGCAUAGUAGCACAUGCCUAUAGUCGCAGCUACUUGGGAGGCUGAGGUGAGAGGAUCACCUGAGCAUGGGGAAGUUGAGACUGCAGUGAGCCAUGAUCGCACCACUGCACUCCAGCCUGGGCAACAGAGUGAGACUCUAUGUCUCAAAAAAAGAAAAAUGAUAGAAAUUAGAUUAGACCUAUUAUACCCAACCGAUAUAUAGGGUAUCGAUAGUCUCUUAUACAGCUGUUGGGCAGAGCCUGCAGAGCUUAGAGAAGCUUAUCUUUAGAUUCUCCCAGUUUCCUUCUAUGUGCAUGGGCCUGGCUCUUAGUUGGCCAUCCACUUAUGCAUAAUGCUGAGAUAUUGGCAUUGAUAGCUUUGUGCGACCCUGCCAGAAAAAAACUCAGUAACUCAGUAAAAUUUUUUUUUUUUUUUUUCUAAAAGAGACAGAGUCUGGCUCUGUUGCCCAGGCUGGUCUUGAAGUCCUGGGCUUAAGCAGUCCUCCCGCCUCAGCCUCCCAAAGUGCUAGAAUUACAGGUGUGAGCCACCACAGCUGGCCAAGACUCAGUAAAUUCUAUGUGGAAUGCAUGAAUGGAAAUACCUAAAGGAGGCAAAGCUACUACUGCUCCCUCCCCGCUAGUCUAAUAAUUGAGGGAGAGAACAGAUGAAAAUCAGGUAUGUCAUGUCUGAAAGGUUGCCAACCCAGUAACUCAGUGUUUAGACUCGGGAUUCUACACUAAAUCUUACCUAAUCUCAGUGUCUUCACGUGGUGGGAUCAGCAGCUGACCUGCCAGAGGGAAGAAUUCUACCUCAUGGGGUUCUUCUCAUUCCCAGAGCCAAUGGCCAAAGGCCCUGCCAAGAAUUCAGAACCAGAGGAGGUCAUCCCAUCCCGGCUGGAUAUCCGUGUGGGGAAAAUCAUCACUGUGGAGAAGCACCCAGACGCAGACAGCCUGUAUGUGGAGAAGAUUGACGUGGGGGAAGCUGAACCACGGACUGUGGUGAGCGGCCUGGUACAGUUCGUGCCCAAGGAGGAACUGCAGGACAGGCUGGUAGUGGUGCUGUGCAACCUGAAACCCCAGAAGAUGAGAGGAGUCGAGUCCCAAGGCAUGCUUCUGUGUGCUUCUAUAGAAGGGAUAAACCGCCAGGUUGAACCUCUGGACCCUCCGGCAGGCUCUGCUCCUGGUGAGCGCGUGUUUGUGAAGGGCUAUGAAAAGGGCCAACCAGAUGAGGAGCUCAAGCCCAAGAAGAAAGUCUUCGAGAAGUUGCAGGCUGACUUUAAAAUUUCUGAGGAGUGCAUCGCACAGUGGAAGCAAACCAACUUCAUGACCAAGCUGGGCUCCAUUUCCUGUAAAUCGCUGAAAGGGGGGAACAUUAGCUAGCCAGCCCAGCAUCUUCCUCCCUUCUUCCACCACUGAGUCAUCUGCUGUCUCUUCAGUCUGCUCCAUCCAUCACCCAUUUACACAUCUCUCAGGACACGGAAGCAGCGGGUUUGGACUCUUUAUUCGGUGCAGAACUCAGCAAGGGGCAGCUUACCCUCCCCAGAACCCAGGAUCAUCCUGUCUGGCUGCAGUGAGAGACCAACCCCUAACAAGGGCUGGGCCGCAGCAGGGAGUCCAGCCCUACCUUCUUCCCUUGGCAGCUGGAGAAAUCUGGUUUCAAUAUAACUCAUUUAAAAAUUUAUGCCACAGUCUUGUAAUUGGAAAAAUACUGGUGCCCAGGUUUUCUUGGAGUUACCCAAGCAGCUGCGCCUCUAGCUGGGAUCUAGUACCUGGACUAGGCUAAUUACAGCUUCUCCCCAACAGGAAACUGUGGGAUUUGAAAAGGAAAGGGAAGGGAAAACAGAGAACCUAGUGGUCUACCAAGUGGUUGGCAACUUUCCCAACGUCUGCUUACUCUGAGGCUUGGCACUGGGGGGCAGGGCCUGCCCCAGGGCUCCUGGAAUUUCCCUUGAUCCAGCUAGGCUGGGACACUCCCUAAACCAGCUGCGUGUUGUUAGCAUCAGGCAGAAUGAAUGGCAGAGUGAUUCUGUCUUCAGAGAGUGUGGGGUACUUCUCCAUAAGGCAUCUCAGUCAAAUCCCCAUCACUGUCAUAAAUUCAAAUAAAAUGUCUGAACAAGGGUG